CCGUGCUUCCUUACUUCCCAUAUCUUCUUAAAGAGUCGUAUGGAAUGUAAAGAAGUAUGGAG
rnacentral:pre_miRNA from 1 species